UUCUGUAGGUGAACCUGCGGAAGGAUC
rnacentral:rRNA from 1 species